rnacentral:rRNA from 1 species
AACGAACGCUGGCGGCAGGCCUAACACAUGCAAGUCGAACGCUCCGCAAGGAGAGUGGCAGACGGGUGAGUAACACGUGGGAAUCUUCCUAUCGGUGCGGAAUAGCUCAGGGAAACUUGAGGUAAUACCGCAUACGCCCCAAGGGGGAAAGAUUUAUCGCCGAUAGAUGAGCCCGCGUCUGAUUAGCUAGUUGGUGGGGUAAUGGCCCACCAAGGCGACGAUCAGUAGCUGGUCUGAGAGGAUGACCAGCCACACUGGGACUGAGACACGGCCCAGACUCCUACGGGAGGCAGCAGUGGGGAAUAUUGGACAAUGGGCGCAAGCCUGAUCCAGCCAUGCCGCGUGAGUGACGAAGGUCUUCGGAUUGUAAAGCUCUUUUGCCAGGGACGAUAAUGACGGUACCUGGAGAAUAAGCCCCGGCUAACUUCGUGCCAGCAGCCGCCGUAAGAC